AAUCCAGGUGAUGAGUACUUAUGUUAAUUCUCACGAUGGUCAUCUGAGAGUCAACUGCCUAUGUGGUGGUUUGAUUUCUGUGAGCCGAUUGAUCUUUCUCUGAUGGUU
rnacentral:snoRNA from 1 species